rnacentral:rRNA from 1 species
UACGUAGGAUGCAAGCGUUGUCCGGAUUUACUGGGCGUAAAGAGCUCGUAGGCGGGGACGCGCGUCCCGGAGGAAAUUCCAGGGCUCAACCCUGGAGCUUUCCGGGAUACGGCGUCUCUUGAGGGCAGAAGAGGAGAACAGAAUUCCCGGUGUAGCGGUGAAAUGCGUAGAUAUCGGGAGGAAUACCAGUGGCGAAGGCGGUUCUCUGGUCUGUCUCUGACGCUGAGGAGCGAAAGCGUGGGUAGCGAACGGGAUUAGAUACCCCCGUAGUCC